AAAACGCUGCACGAGGCCCGGAGUUCAGAGCACAAGAAAUGCAUCUGUGAUUUUCUUGUUUCUCUGUUACAGAUGCCAGACUAUGACUGACUGACUGAUGAAACCAACCUUGACAUCUCAAGAACUUGUGGGUGGUUGCCAGCAAAGAGGGACUUCUGUGUUUAAACCUAUUCUUCAGCACAGGACAGAAGAGAUGUUUUUAAGUCAAACAUCAUCAUGUGUGAGUGAAAUGUGUUAUAUAUCCAGAUGCAUAACGUCUGAUCAUCACCCAGCGUCUCAUGUACUUGCGGUGUGUGUGUGUGUGUUUGGCUGGGAAAGGAAAUGAUAACAGCAUGCUCCUAAAUGAGCUUCAUCCUCUUAAUUAACUAGUUCUGCUGUUAAACGAGCUUAAUCAGAUUAAUUAGGGCUGUGUAAGCACACCUGUGCAGAGAAGCAUGGCUCCCACAGUCCCUUCUCAUUACACUGGAGUCAGACGGGUCACGUGCAGCUCGGUGUUAUGAGGGGUGUUUAGGGGGUUUUAGGGGUGUUCUGGGUGUUUUGGGUGUUGCUGUGUAGUUAAUAGGUUGUUCUGCUUUUUUGCAGUUGUUGUCAUGUUUUUAAUGCAUUAUGUUAAAAUCCUAAAUCAAAUUAUGCUUGCAUUUAAAGGUCAAAAGACAACGGAGUAGAUACAUUUUAUCAGUUCUUGUUGUUCUUUGAAGUUUCAUAAAGCUAAUCAUAUGUUUUGAGUUCAAUUCUGAUAUCUCCACCAGUUUCACCACGAUGCUUUCCAUCAGCAUUUAAAUUCAGGUAUCGCCUCAGUUCUGUUACGUUACACAAAGUCAAAGCUUUAAAGUGCUGCCAAAUCAUCAAGCACUCUUGAACCGCAUCGAUUGAGCAGCCACGAGACGACAGGUUAAAAAUCCUGCGGUAAUCAGGACAAACGAUUGCUUGUGGAGGAAAGAGGAUAUCGAUAGCACGGACUGGACAGGGCCAAGGUCACUCACAAACCAUUUCAGCACUUCUGCUCAGGAGGGACUUAAAUGUGAUAUUGGUAAAUUAGGGGCUGAUGAGCACAGGAGAGAUGGAGAGAUGGACUAAAGGUUGUCAUUUAACAAGACUCUGCCAUUUACUAUUGAUUCUUCAGACAGCAGAGAGACGUAUCCUCCGAGUCUCGACCUCAGACCACAUGGAUCCAAAGAUUUACACUGAACGCCUCUGCUGUUAUUAUCAUUCUUCUCAUUUACUCGUGUUUUUUAGCAGAUGAUGCUUUUUUUUCACUAUGUCCUGAAAUACAAAGCAUUUUGAGCUUUGUUUUGCUACACAUAUUUAUUAAGAUUUAUACUUGUCAUUAGUUUUAACAUUUUAUUUUGUUGAAUUUUAUUGUAUUCUUUGUUAUUUCACUUAAUUAUCUUUUUUUUCUGCACCCCCCCCCCCCCAUUUUUUGCUUUUAUUUUGCCGAUUUAGCUUUUUAGUUUUAUUGGCUUUUAUUUUGUUUCAAAAAUUAUAUCCUGAAAUUUGCAUCAAUGUUUUUGCUAUGUUUGGCCUCACAUAUUUACAAAGUAUUUAUUUUUAUUUAUUUUUUUCUUAAUUUUUUAAUUCGUAAUUAUAAUUUCAUCUUAUUCACGCUAUUUAUUUUUGCAGAUUUUUUUUUAUUUUUUUAAGAUCUUAAUUUUUUUAUUUUUUUUUAUUAAAUAUUUAUCUACAAUUUUUAAUCUAUAUAUAUAUAUUUUUCUGUCCCUAAAUGUCACAUUAAAACGAAAGAAAUUCUGGUUGAUAAUUUCUCAUGAGAGAAUUGGGCGACUGGGCAGAAUAAGCUGCAAAUUGGACCAGAUUUCGUCAAUAAUCAGACGUCUGGCUCUGUGAGACCAGCAUCAGAAGCCACGAGAUGCUUCACUUCUUCAGAACGGAUGGCCUUUACUUUCACAUGAAAUCCAAUAACGCCUUUCUUAAUGGUGAGGUGACUGCUAUGAGGUUAACUGGUGUACAAUCCUGCUGAAGCAGACUCCGAAAUCAUGAAACAUUUGCCUUGAUCUGUCCUAUAUCUGAUCCUAGCUCUCCAAACUUUAACCUGACAUUUCUGUCUGUCGGUCUGUUGUGUCGAGUGCUUUUCGUCUCGUGUGUUUGUUAUCGUAGAAGCACAAGGUCACAUCCUGACAGCCCAAAUACUGUCAUUUAUUCUCCUAGCUGAAGUGGAUAUCAGACUCGUGAUGAUCUUUCUUUCUGCUGGCACAACAACUAUAGAGUAAUUAUAAAGUGGUUUUUAUCUGAAGACAGC
ensembl:lncRNA